UAAUCUUUUUGGACCAAAUUUAUUUAAAAUUCAAUCUUCAUUUUCUGAAAUUAUUUUUAAUUCCCGCGGGAAAAAUAUUAAUUUAUUAACUGUAAACUUCCCAACGUUCUUAUUUUUCUGAAAAAGGCAUGGCCUUUCCCGAACAGGCGCCAAGCCUUUCCGAACAGUCACAAUUCGAGGUUAUAUAAACUGAGGCAAUGCCUCAUUUUCGAGUAGUGAAAAAAAAAAUUAUUCGUGCAUUAAAAAUUCUGCAUUCUUUUCUGCAAACUGAAACAUAUC
rnacentral:lncRNA from 1 species